GUGGGGAAUAUUGGACAAUGGGCGAAAGCCUGAUCCAGCCAUGCCGCGUGUGUGAAGAAGGUCUUCGGAUUGUAAAGCACUUUAAGUUGGGAGGAAGGGCAGUAAGUUAAUACCUUGCUGUUUUGACGUUACCGACAGAAUAAGCACCGGCUAACUUCGUGCCAGCAGCCGCGGUAAUACGAAGGGUGCAAGCGUUAAUCGGAAUUACUGGGCGUAAAGCGCGCGUAGGUGGUUUUGUAAGUUGGAGGUAAAAUCCCCGGGCUCAACCUGGGAACUGCCUCCAAAACUGCAUGACUAGAGUACGGUAGAGGGUAGUGGAAUUUCCUGUGUAGCGGUGAAAUGCGUAGAUAUAGGAAGGAACACCAGUGGCGAAGGCGACUACCUGGACUGAUACUGACACUGAGGUGCGAAAGCGUGGGGAGCAAACAGGAUUAGAAACCCUAGUAGUCC
rnacentral:rRNA from 1 species